CCACUACUGAGGCCCUGAGGAUUCGCUGCUGGGAACAGGAACCUAUCUGUGUGAACUCUGAGGAUCGCCCCCUUUCUCUUGUCUCAGGAAGAGAAGUAUUGUAGCAAGGCAUUCAUCACCUGCUGAUCAGGGCCUGAGGUUCAGCUCUGCUUUAGAGUCUUCAGGAAUAUUAAGCUGGAAGACGUUUGAGAGUGUCUCCUCCUGCACAUACAGCCGAGGUACUGUGGUCACCUGUGGCGGUUCAUCACAGUUCCUCGAUGCCAACUGCGGUUCCAGCUCUGUGUCAUCUUGGAGUCACUGAUCAUCCUAGAAAUGCUCCAGUACACAGCCCCACCAUGUUCUCUGUGCAGCC
rnacentral:lncRNA from 1 species